rnacentral:misc_RNA from 1 species
AUUGUGCUAGCGAUUCGUUUAUGCAUUAAUAUUCAUGCGACUGACGUGCAAUUUUCCAUCUCUUUUUUUUUAGACCUUUUAGACUUUAGACGCUGUCAAGUGCUUGUUUCAAUCUCAUAUGGUCGCGCCAUUUCACCGGCACAUUUUCAAACAUGGCCGAGAGAACAACGAGCGACGACGAUCGCGAGAUGGAGAGACCGCAAUUUGGAACGCGAAAUUUACCUUCCCAUGGGGACGUUUUUCAACACAAUACAUGGGACAAUGUUACAUGGAACGAGGAACAAGAGAAAUGGGCGCAAGAGAAAGUGGAUGAGAAUUCUGCUGUCACAGUAUCAUCUGAUCAACUUCUGAAAUAUGAGACUGAAGCAGAUAAAUAUUGGGACAAGUUUUAUGGGAUACAUAACAAUGGAUUUUUUAAGGACAGACAUUGGUUACUGAUCGAGUUUCCCGAAUUGGCUCCCAAUACAGUUAAACAGAAUAUUGAUAGACCCAUAAGAGCUGCACUUACGGACGAAGAAAGAAGUCAUGGAGAGAGGCACAUAAAAAUUCUCGAUUUACCAUGUAACGAAGGUUGCAAAAUAUUGGAAAUAGGAUGUGGUGUUGGAAACACCGUGUUUCCUGUACUCGUAUAUAACAUAGAUCCAAAAUUAUUUGUAUAUUGUUGCGAUUUCUCCGCGAAAGCUAUCGAUAUACUGCAGCAGAAUCCUGCUUACGAUGUAAGCAGGUGUAAAGCAUUUGUGCUUGACGCAACUCAGGAGACGUGGGCGACCCCUUUUGAACCUGAAAGCCUGGACAUUAUCGUUCUUAUAUUCGUACUAUCUGCUAUCCAUCCUGACAAAAUGCAGCACGUUGUACAGCAGAUGCAUAAGUACCUGAAACCGGGGGGAAUAGUGUUGUUCCGCGAUUACGGCAGAUACGAUCUUGCACAAUUGCGAUUUAAGAAAGGCAGUUGUCUCGGCGAGAACUUUUAUGUGCGUGGCGACGGCACGCGAGUGUAUUUUUUCAAACAAGCGCUGGGAAGAAAGUAGAACGAGAGGCGUGGCUUGCAAAACGGAUAGAUAAUUAAAAUUUCUCAUCCGGAUAAUGAAGUUAAAUCUCACACGAGA